rnacentral:rRNA from 1 species
AGAGUUUGAUCAUGGCUCAGAACGAACGCUGGCGGCAUGCCUAACACAUGCAAGUCGAACGAGACCUUCGGGUCUAGUGGCGCACGGGUGCGUAACGCGUGGGAACCUGCCUUUAGGUUCGGAAUAACUCAGAGAAAUUUGAGCUAAUACCGGAUAAUGUCUUCGGACCAAAGAUUUAUCGCCUUUAGAUGGGCCCGCGUUGGAUUAGCUAGUUGGUGGGGUAAAGGCCUACCAAGGCGACGAUCCAUAGCUGGUCUGAGAGGAUGAUCAGCCACACUGGGACUGAGACACGGCCCAGACUCCUACGGGAGGCAGCAGUGGGGAAUAUUGGACAAUGGGCGAAAGCCUGAUCCAGCAAUGCCGCGUGAGUGAUGAAGGCCUUAGGGUUGUAAAGCUCUUUUACCCGAGAUGAUAAUGACAGUAUCGGGAGAAUAAGCUCCGGCUAACUCCGUGCCAGCAGCCGCGGUAAUACGGAGGGAGCUAGCGUUGUUCGGAAUUACUGGGCGUAAAGCGCACGUAGGCGGCUUUUUAAGUCAGGGGUGAAAUCCCGGGGCUCAACCCCGGAACUGCCCUUGAAACUGGGAAGCUAGAAUCUUGGAGAGGCGAGUGGAAUUCCGAGUGUAGAGGUGAAAUUCGUAGAUAUUCGGAAGAACACCAGUGGCGAAGGCGACUCGCUGGACAAGUAUUGACGCUGAGGUGCGAAAGCGUGGGGAGCAGACAGGAUUAGAUACCCCGGUAGUCC